CAGCCGCCACCCCAAUCUUCCUUAUCCUCAACAUCAAUUCAUCAUCCAUCCAUCAUCAUCAAUUCAUCAUCAAGAGCAACAACAAUUUAAAUCAUCCUCAACAUCAAUUUAAAUCAGCAAGAGUAGCAAUCACGAGUAACAACCAAGCUCUACCACCGUUCAUCAUCCAUCAUCAUCAACUAAGGGAUUGGACGGUACCUAUCUUCUUCGUGGAUGUUGGACCUCGAACACUGCUUGACGCUCUCAUGGCUGCCAUCUCUUGGACUCACCAAUGCCUCAGCCGAUAUCUCAAAGAAACCACUAGUCUCUUUUCGUCAGCGCUUCGGUAAUUAUUGAAGUUUUUGUUGUUGUGAAUAGUCAAAUACAAAAUUUAAACACAGAAUAUCGAUAUAAUUGUAAACUUUAUUAUUGAUGUAAGUAAAUUUAGUUGAGAUCUCAUAAAUUUGUUCUACCUUUUACUGUCUUUGCAAAUUCCAAAGAGCCAAAAGUAGCAUACUUGGAGAAUUCAUCUUCCUCCCUUCACCCAACAACCCGGGUUUAAAAUCUGAAAUUCGGGAACCCAGACUUUUUUCGGGUUGAACCCGCUCCGAACCCGCAAUUAAAAAAUCUAGGUUCUAAUCCGGAUCCCAGAAGACAAAUUGGCAUAUGGGUCUGGAACUGAAAAGGCUGAACCUAGACCCGAUUUUUGCUUUCCCUAAACAAGACCCAUGUAGGCACAAUUUUCUUUGCCUAUAUAAUUAAGGAAAAUGAUAAGUGAACAUAGCCAUGACAGAGGGAAGACAGAAACGACAGCCGCUUGUUGUCGUUUCGUUCACUUAUCAUUUCUUCUUCAUGGGCCCAUAAUUACUUUAAAAAAAAGUAAAGAUUAAUUAAAAAACAAAACAAAAGAGAAGCCCAGGAAGGAUAUCAGAGCUGCUGCAAUCUUAUCUCUUCUCUACCUUUGCUCUACCUCAUCCCUUAUUACCCACGGCAACCUUGCAGGUUUUCUUUUGCCAUGAUUGGGCCAACCAACCUUGCAGAUUUUCCUUUGCCCUCCACACAGCACAGAGCCAACAGAUUGAGAUUUUGUAGAUUAUCUUUUGCAAAUUUUUUUUUAUGUUAUUGAAAUUGAGCAAAUGCAGGGCUAGAAAUGCAUAUAUCAGUUGUGGUAAACAAUUUGGCCUCUCACUUUAAUCAUUAUGGAGCGUUAAAACUCAUGUCCAAUAGUAGAAAAAAAUGUUUUCACUUUAUUCACGCAUGUGUGCCAUUAUAUAUUCAUUUUUCUAAAUUUAUUGUGAGCCCAUAACAGAAGAGAGAGAGGACAGAAAACAACAUGUGCUGCCGUUUCUGUCUUCCCUCUACCGUUAUUUUGGCUAGUUAGCACUGCUAUAUAAUUAACGAUAAAUUUCUCUUUUUUUGGUUAAAUCUAUCAUCUUACGCAACAUUUGAGGAGUUUAAAUGACAAAAUUGUUACCAAUAACAAAAACUUACGCUGUUACAGCAUUCAUAGAUUUACUUCAAUUAUUGAGCUAGGCAGAACAUGUUCAGCAAUAACAGAAUUUUGAAUCACUAAAUUCCUAAUUUAUGAGUUAAAAUGUAGGUGAAAGUUAACUUACCUCACAUAUGAUGCAUUCAGAAUAAGCAAGGAAGCCGCAUUCCCCACAGUGAUAAACAUGAUCCUUAGGAGUUCUUCCUGUUUACAAACAUAAUCUUUUACACAAUCCGUAAGCAUAAGAUGAUGCAAUUGGUAACUUUAAUGUCUUACAACAAGCGGCAGAGAAAUAAAUUCAAUAAAAACAUUCCAAUUACACUUACUACACCUAUAGAAUGAAUCUUCACAGUAAUCGUGGCGCUUGCCAUAUUCGAAACACUUAAAACAGUGCAUUGUUUUCAUUAAAUAAACCAAAUCAUGAUCAUCAGUGAGGCUUGUGUUUCAAGCUUCUUGUGUAGGGGUAUCAACAGGUAACAUGAUAAUAAAAUUUACAAUCCGAGCAUUAUUACAGUGCAAGCUGAUGCCUUCAAUUAAUUCGUCACAGACAUUACAAGUCUUGGACUCGUCGUUCACCAAAGUAUUCAAAAAGAGGGUGUAGUUUUUUAAGAGGAUGAUGGUGAUUUCUUUGGACGUGUUUAGACAGAACCCAUGAACAAAGAAUUUGCAGUGUAUGCAACAAUAAGCUGAGUAGUUGAUGAUGAUCAAGUUGCAACAAAAACAAAAGGGUAAUAAUAAAGUUUCUGAGUGGUUUCCGAAAUUGCAUAGACCCGAUUUAUGCAUGUAUGCACGACAUACAAUAUGAAAAAAUCAAGCAUACAAUAAGAAAAAAUCAAGAAGACCCUCUCAAAAUUGUAAAACUAAUUGUACGGGCAUUUUUAUUUAGAAAAAACGAGACUUAUCAAUGGGUCCUGUAUGGGACAUUUAAAAUGGUAUCAACAGGCCUUAAAACCCAAAUAAAUGUCCUUUUAAUCCAUUUCCCCUUAUUAACGAAGAAUCCAUAUCCCCCGGACCUUCCAGGGACAAGGGCAAGUCUCGCUCUGAUCUUCCAUCUGGAAGGGUAAUUGGAAAUUAAAAAGCACGGUGUCUAGCAAUUGUGCAAAAUAUUGAGAAGAACUUCUAUACUUUGUAGUACAACUAACUAAUAAAAUUAUAAUAUGCACAUAGUAUUUUGUCACUCAAAUUUGUCAAAAUUAAAAAAAAAAAUCUUAAUUAUUAGAAAUUCUAGGCAAAUUAGUCUGGGUUUCAAUCCAAGGAAACCUACACUUGUUACUACCGAAACCAAAAAUCAAUCCACCUAAUUUACUUUGGGUUUAGUUUGAGUUUUGGUUCAAAUGAUUUGGCUUUGACUCUACUAUAUCAUAAUCAAUGUAAAUUAUCACUGUCAUACAUUUUGGUUAUUAAAUUAUAACUAACACUCCAAAUAAACACACAAAUGGACAAUUAAAAGAAUAUGUUGGGCAUCCUAGAGCACAAGAUAUUUUGCAGGGAAAAAAUUGCUUCAUAAAUUACUUUGAAUGCAAUUCCUAACAUAACAUCAUACAUGCCUAUUCUAAUGGAUAAAACAAACCCAUAAUCACAUAUCCGUAUCACAAAAUUUUAUAAUAAACAUAAAAAAAAAAAAAACCUCUUUAAGACAGCACUCACACAUGCACACAUGUUCAAAGUGAAUGUAGUUAAAAGUUUAGCUUAUUUACUUCUUGGCGGUCACAACAAUAAACCUAGUCACCGUAAUCGAACAUCAAUGAUUACUCUUGGCAGUCACAACAAUAAACAUACUCAUCAUAACUGAACAUCAAAGAUUAAUCUCCUGUGAAAAUGUAACAAUAAACUACUAAGCACUAUGGGUCUUAAUAAAUGAUAAACAAGUCCAAAUUUACUUUACAAGAUAAUUUCCUAGUUUCAACACGCUUAUCACCCUUAGCACUUAUUUAUUUAUUUAUUUUUGUUUGAUACCUUAGAUGAUAUUCAUGAUACAACUAAAAAUAUCACAUAAAAUUCUCAGCUCCUAUGUCUUUAAGAAACAAUUUCAAGUAAUAUCACAAAUCUUGCUUUCCAUUCUCCUUAUAACAGAAAAAGUUACUAACCAAUCCUCAAUCUCAGAUUUUUAAUUAAAAAAAAAUCAAUAUCCAAUAUUUAUGAAAUUUCAUAGGGAUCAUAUAGGCACAUAAAGGUUACUUUUUUUACAGUAAAAUUUCAAGGCAAAUUGCAUUCAAAAUCUGUUAAAAAUAAACUUGUUUUUUAGGCCAUUUAAUCAUGCCAUAAAAAAAAUCCAAAAUUGAGUCCCUUUCACUCGUUAACUCAUAUUAACGAGAAACGAGGAAUUAAGACCUCAGUAUCUAAUAUGCCGUGUAAAAGGGCCCAUCUGCAAAAGUUCAUGAUUUUAAAGAAGGUGUUGAUGCAAGAUUCUGGCUCUCCUCGUUCUACGACCAGGGUCUCUACUUGAUCAACUUCACCACGACCAGGAUCUCUCCUCGUAAAGCUUCUUCUCCAGAGGUUCCUGCGCACACAGACAAGUCAGAGUACGCGGUUGUUUUCCCGGCGCAAACCCUCCGACGCUCAAGUCAGAUAUGAAGGUUCGGGGAACGCUUGCCACAAAUCUUAUGGCUGUUAGGUUGUUUUCUCUCUUUUAGAAUCAAAAUUGCUAACCCUUUUACCUUUGUUGGCUACCUUUUUAUAGGCUUCCUCUGAGUCCCGACCUUCCGCAGUUUACGCCCGUUAUUCUCCCCACCUUCGGAUGUGUAUUCCCCAUUUCCGUAGUCGUGGGUGGUUGCGUGGCCUUCGUGCCUAGAUUCUCGGGCUGGAGAGCGUGCCUCGCCAACUGUCGUUGACCGGGUCUCCUCGAAUAAACCCUUAGCAAGAAUACAGCAGGAAUGGAUUUAUGCUUCUUACAAGAAAUUGGUCUCACGGAUGACGUGCUCGUGGAUGAGCAGGAUAUUCCUGCCCCUGUUCCCCUGCUACCUGGCUCUUACAGGACACACCUGCUCGCAGACUUCUGCCACCAAACAUCUGCUCAUCACGUCUGGUCUCGUCGGAGUAUUUCCCUCAAACAAAAGGUUUGAUUGGUCAAAAGUUUUUCAUCAUUUGGCAACAUUACAGAAACCGUAAAUUUUUAAUAUCCAAUUGUAUGAUUCAAAAAUCCAUUAAAAUUCGAAUUUAAGUAUAUUUCAAUUUAAAAAUUCUAAGAGACCUUACAAUGUCUAGUUUCAGUACAAAAACAUACAUAUUUGCAAAAAAAAAUGCAUUAUUUUAAAUCGUUUUGGAGUAGGUCACUAUCAUAUGUACACAAAACCUUGAAAAAAACUUAAUUAUUCCUUACUGUUUCUUCAAAGAACACAAUAAGUCAAAACUGAUCUUUGUCAAACUAAAUCAUCCUCUCAUAAGUUCAUUCUAUAGCGUAGAUAUAUCCCACGACAUAUUUUUGUGAGAAAGAAAGUUUAGCAACCUUACAGUAAGCUUAACAAGUAAAUUUAGAUAUUAAAAAAAAAUACCUCUUUGCUCUCUUUCCCUCAUAACCUUUUCCAAGAAUCUUCAACAUCUGUCAGCAGUCUCUAAAACUAAUUUUUGUAAGAAAGAAAGUCUACCACCUUACAAUAAAAGAAGACCUGAUUCUUAUUGGGUUUUAGAACUACCCCAAAAAAAAUUCACUACGCACAGAAAGCUUUAACUCUUAGGCCCAAAAAUUAAAAUUCAAGGAGUAAUAAUAAUAAUUCACAUAAUUAUCAAAAAAAUUAGUCACUAAUAAUAACAACUGAAAUGAACCUUACUCACUUGAUUCCAGGCAUUAUAAUAUAAAUACAGAGUGAUCACGGAUGAUAGCAUGAAAUUGUGUGCAAACGCAUAUCUUUAUACUAUAUAACAUUGUAAACUAUUUUACAACUCUAUUAAAGGUUGUGCAUGAAAACUGAUGCAGAUGUUCGCACGUUGGCAUGAUUUAUAUAUAUAUAUAUACACCCAAGAUCCCCAUAUUGUAAUAUCUAUAUGGGGAAUUUUUCGAUCAAGGAUUCCCGGAUGGACCAUUGGAUUCCAAAUCCCUUUUUUUCAUUUUUCUUCCAUUUGGUUGGCUGCACAUGGUCUGCCAUGUGCAGCCAAAUGUUAGCCUUUGGAUUCAAAAACCACCAUUUUGUUCUUAAAUUGGAAAAGUAUCUAAGAACAAAAUAUUUAAAUCCAAAGGUUAUCAUUUGGCUGCAUAUGUUGUUGCUCAUGUUGGAGCCAACAAAAUAUUAAAAAAAAAAAAAGUUUCGGAUCCUUGGAUUUCAAUUAGUGGCUCAUUCGAGAAUCAUGAAUUGGAAAAUUCCCUAUGUACAUGCAUGCGCGCACGUGUGUAGAUUGCACUUAUUGUGAUGAUCCUUUACUUUAGGCAAAUAUUAAGUUACAUUAAAUGUAACUUAGGGGCUCCCUUUACUUUAAUAUGAUAAGGUAUAAUCUAAAAAAUAUAAAAACACAAAUUUCAAUACACUACAAGACAAAAUAUAAUACAUUGAAGCGUGCUUUUCUUCUAUUUUAGCUCAUUCUUUACUUUAUUAAAGUGCGAGAAACUCACCAAAUAAUAACUCACACACACACACACACACAUAUAUAUAUAUAUUGUGAGCUUCCCAUUAAGUGAUCCUUUUUUUCGUAAAUAAAAUGAGGACUUCAAAUAUUAGCAAUCUGGCUGCAUUAUGUGGAAUAACCUCACUUUUAAUUAUUUAUUUUUAUUAUAUUCUUCGCUAAACCAAAGAGAAAGGGAAACAAAUAUUAUAUGUUGGCCAAAAUCGUGAAAAUUGUUUGUUUUCUUUUCGCUUUUGAAAUAUAAUAGGAUUUAAUAAUUAGAAGUGGAGUCAUUCCACUUAAUACAACCAAAACAAAAAAUGGUUAUUGGGUUCUGCAAAUACAGAUUAAUAUUAGAACUCGAUGUUUUGCUUAGGUUCGAACCUCUAAAUGAUUUUGAAAUACAAAUUGAGCUAAAAGACAAAAAAAAAAAAAAUACUGACCAAAAAACAUUAUUUUUACCUUCUAGUGUAUUGGAGUUCAUGUUUUUUUGUCUAAAUGAUUUUAACAUGCAGAUAUAUAUAUAUAUACACACACACACACUCAACCCAAAUUCUUCUCUAAUAAGGAUGCUCAUAUAUUUGCAAAAUGUGAAUGCUUGUUUACAGUAAUUCGAUGGUCCUCAUUCGUUCUUCUUUUAGUUAUAAUAAAAUACUCAUUAUUGUACAUCUUCAUAAAUGAUCUCCAAAGUAAAUUUUUAAUUAUUUAAUUAUACAUUGUUUAAGAAAAAUUUCAUUCAACCAUUUUAUUAGAGAAAAAUAAUGUAUAUACUUUUAUAAAUAUAUAGUUUAACUUCCAAUCUGAGAAUCCCAGACUUCAUUAAAAUUCAAGACAUAUUUACAACAUUGUAAAAAUCCAUUUACAUCACUACCAACUCUUCCCAGAUUUAGUUUAAUCUUGAAUUCUCAAAUUAGAAAAUUUUCAUAUGUGUGUGCGUGUGUAUGUAUGUAUGUAUGUAUGUCAUUUAUCAUUUUCUAUUACAACAACACCAAAGAAAUAGAAUGUUCUAUUUUAGCCAAAGAAAUAAUUUUAAAAUGUUAUGUUUUAGCCAUUAAAGUGCAAUAACGAUUAUGUGAUUAAAGGAAAGAAAAUAAACAAAUAAAUGCUAGAUAAAUAAACAUACCGUGAGGUGAUUACUUCUUAUAAAGAGAGUGAAAUAUUAAUACUCCAUUCUCUCUAUCAUCUUCCUCACCAGCAUUCAAAAAUGAUUUAAAAAGCAAGAAAUAUUAAUUUGAAGAACCCACAAAGUAACAAUAGUUUUGUCCCAAAGGUAUAAUGGUAAGAGAAUCCAGAUUUAUACGCCGCUUCAGAUAAAAGAUAAGGACAAACAAAUUUUGGCAACAGUCACUUGCUAUGCUCCUUUGACAGCCCCAUAAUCAUUUUUUUUUUUCAAGUAUUAACCCUAUUUGGUAGCAUCAUAAUUAACUUGGUUGUGCCAUUUCUAAAUACAAUUAUUUUAUUAAUGACGCCCACAAAAUUAUCCUUACAAAGAAUUUCCUGUACUUUCCAAAUUUGUAAAAUAUCGGAUUGUAUGUGGUCCCACAUUGUCCGAUUUUGUGGAUUAUAUACAAAAAUUCACCAUUUUAUGGAUUGAUUCAAGGCCAAAACUACAUUGCGUCCGGGGUUUGGUGCCCCACUCGUUUGUCUGUUAGCAAGGUCAGCGUUGGAUUUGAUCUGACAGCUGCAGAAGAGACACAAAUAUAAAGGAGUAACCUGAGGCAAAGGUAACAAGCCGGUCACCUACAAAAAAUAAGUGUAUGAUAAAAUAACACAUGCAAUGAAUUUUGUUUUGUUUUUUUUUUAGAAGACGUGUAAUGAACUUGUUGGAAGCGUAUAUGCAAGUAAUGGUUGGAAACAACUUGCUGGAACCGUGCAAGUAUUCGUUGGGCUAAGACUGACAUGAAAUUUCCCAAAUACUGUUCGAAACAUUUGCAAAUAGUUAAUUCAAAGCGUCAAUAAAUGCUGGAAAAAAUACAUAUUUUUUAUUUUAUUAUUAAGAAUACAUUUUUUUUAUAAAAAAAUAAAUUAUUAAUGAUACAUAUUAAUAACAAAUAUACCGAAAAAAAAUUAUCCAUAUAUUUAAAAAAAAUUUGUGAACAACACAUUUUUUAGAAGUACACAUUAUACCAUAAAAAAAUUGAGUUGUAUCAUGGACAGCCAUAAAAUAUGAACAAAGAUUACAAUCUAAACUCCACAUGCAUGUUUAAUUUGCAGAUUCCAUUUUUUCAGAAUGUGUUUCCCACCAUGGGGAUAACCAGGGUUAUUCAGGCAAAACACUACUGUAAUUUAUUAUCAUAGACAGGAAAAAGACAAUGGCAGAGAUCAAUGAUUUAACACACAAGAAUGAGUGAAUGACAACAGCAAGUGAGAACCAUGCAAAAUCUUUUUUAUUAGAGAUCCUUUCUUAAAUCUUAAAUAAGAACAUUAAAUAAGCUUGAAAAAUAUUGGUAAUUGACCCAAUACACAUCCAUCUAACGGAAAACAACGGACAAUUUGAUGCAUGUGUGGAGCACUUGAGGAAACAGAGCAUCCGCAGAAUGCCUAAAUUUGAAAAAAAUAAAUUGCAUUUGACAAAAAGAACUUGGAGCGUUCAAAUACAAAGUGUCAAUUAAUUAAGGGCAUCCAUGUAGUUGUCUGUUUCACUUUCUACUUCAUCAAGCUGGUCUCCAUUGGAUAUAGAUUUUUGAAUGUCUUCAUCAGCAGGAAAGAUAUCCAUUUGAUCAACAUUUUCAAGGAUGACAGUUCCUCUUUCCUGAGUAUCUGAGUCAAAAUUAGCUGAAAGCACCUCCUGAUACUAUCUAUCAAGCAAGAUAUCCCUUUGGUCAACACUUCUAAGGUAGGCAGUUCCUCUGUUCUGUGUAUCUGUGUCAAAACUUGCUGAAAGCAUCUCCAGAGGCUCGCCAUCAAGCAUGAUACCUUACAAGAUUCAUCAACCAUCAAAUAUGCUCAACAUGCAAUACCAAAUUAAAUUACCCAUCUCCAGGGUUGGAUUUGUCUUCAAUCAGAUGAAUACUGGAGAGAAUAUAAUUGAAAGAAUGGCAUCAUCUACCAUGCAAGGUAAGGCUCCUUACAGGUGCUCAACAUGACACCACAAAAGAAAAUACAAUAUCAAAGACACAUCACCAACAUAUAUGCAAACAACCAAUUCUCACAGCAUGCAGUGCAACAACUCACAAAAUAUGAAAUUUAACAUCAUCUAAGCAUUUUCUCAAGCUUAUUUCUCAUUAAAGAACUUAACUGAAAGUAGUAAACAUAGAGACAUAUAACAGUUUUAUAAGUACAGACCACAAAGCAGAACUUUGUUCGAAUGAUAAUGAUCAUAAUCCACAUUAUAAACGCAGUGAAGUCAUCAAAUGAAAAUAAGAACACAGUACACAAUUACACAAAUAUUAGGCUUAAUUAAUUAUUUAGAAUAAAACACCACCUCACGCAGCUUCCUUAGCUGGAAUCUUCUCAUAUCCCAUCUUCUUAGGGCUCAGAUCAUCAACAUCAUUGAAUUCCUCAUACGAAUUGCGAGAAUCGUGAUGAUUAGCAAAGAGGCUCCACACCAAAUACAUGGUAACUGCAGUAAGCGAACCGCACCCAACGUCGAAAAGCAAAGUGACUGGUCCGGUCGCAUAGAGAGGAGUAGUCGUGCUCGAAGGGAAAAACGCGGCAUUUUGGUUCGUGGAUGAGGUGCUAGUCCUGAUCGUCGAUUGAAGGGAGAAUCGGACAGUCGAGGAAGAUUAAGGGACGGUGGGGGCUGAGUUUGGCGAAUUUCGGUGAAGAUUGUGACGAAUCCAGCGAGGUUCUCGGAAUUAAGGUUAGGGUUACGGGGAUUGCAAUGGAUCGAGUAAGAGGAAAUGAAGAGGGUUUUGCAUGGCCUUCCGGAGGCUGAAAUUGAGAGAACACCAUGAAUAUUGUGAGAGCUAAGAGGAGACGCUGAGUCGAUGAUGCCAUUGAUUCAUACCACACAACUUCGAUUGGAAAUGGAGCCUCUAAUAGCUUUAGCCGGUUACCCAUUUUUCAAGUGUUAAAUCUCAGCCGUUGACUGCCUUUCUUUACGAUCUAAAGGGUCAUACGCAAAAGGACAAACGACUGGGGUACCAAACCCCUGAUGCAAUGUAGCUGGAUCCUUGAUUCAAUCCAUGCGUUGCACUGCAGAUUUGAUGCGGAUUUGACACUAAUCCACAUUCAAUCUACUAUUUUAUGGAUAGCAUGCGAAUUACACUUUCAUAGACUUAUACCUUUUUAUUUAUUUUAAUACUCGAUAGAAAUAAAAAUAAAAAUAAAAAUAAAAACCCUUAUAGCAAAAAGAAGGCAGUACAAGAUUAAGAUAUGGCUAGCUGCUUCAAUACUUUCUUAGUUUUCUUUUUAAUUUAUAUAUAUGAUUCAUCAUCAUUGUGAAUGUAAAUCAUAAAAGACAGACACUUAUAUAACUAAGAAAAAGAAAAAGAAAAUUAAAGAAGCCAAAUAAAUACAUACCUUGAAGACCGAAGGAAACAAAAGCUAUGAAGAUCUCGUCUUAUUAAGAGAGUGAAUAAAUAAUACUCGAUUCAUCUAAAUUGAUCUUCCUCUUUUGGACUCAAGAAAGGUUUUAAGGGGGAAGAAAUUGAAGACGAAUUGAAAAACCUUGGACUUAUAAUGCUCUCAAACAGUUAAGAAGGAAAGUGCGAAGACAUUGGCCGCAGAAUUUAGUUUUGUGUGUUGAAGGGUGUUUAGAAGAUAAAGAUAAAAUGUUCAAAUAAUAAUAAUAAUAAUAAUAAAUAAAGAUGAAAAAUGUUUGGCAAUAAUAUCACUAGAGGUGGGCAUCAACCCGCCCAACCCGUGUGAUUUUUUGCGGGUUGGGUUGGGUUGAUAAAAUAAACGGGUUGAGUUGGGUUAUUAAAUUCCCAACCCGCACUAUUUGCGG
rnacentral:lncRNA from 1 species